rnacentral:rRNA from 1 species
GACGAACGCUGGCGGCGUGCUUAACACAUGCAAGUCGAGCGGAGCGGCGAACGGGUGAGUAACGCGUGAGUAACUGCCCCCCUCUCUGGGAUAACAGUUGGAAACGGCUGCUAAUACCGGAUAGUGGGGGAUGACUCGCGUCCUAUAAGCUUGGUGGUGGGGUAGUGGCCUACCAAGGCGACGACGGGUAGCCGGCCUGAGAGGGCGACCGGCAACAUUGGGCUGAGAUACGGGCCUAACUCCUACGGGAGGCAGGAGGGGGGAAGAUUGCACAAGGGGGGAAACCCUGAUGCAGGAACGCCGCGUGCGGGAUGACGGCCUGCGGGUUGUAACCCGCUUUCAGCCAUGACGCGGUAGUGGCAGAAGAAGCACCGGCUAACUACGUGCCAGCCGCCGCGGUAAUUC